UGACCUGGUGUAGGGAACUUGCUUUGGCAGGGGGGUCAGACUCUAUGAUUGCUGGAGGUCCCUUCCAACACCUACAAUUCUGUGAUUCUGUCCUUCAGGCUCACAAGCAAGAAAGCAAGAGCAAGCCAGCAGAGUCUGGGAAGGGCAGCAUAUCACUAGGUCGCCAUGCAUGGCUGAGUGUGGAAAAUAACAGGCACGCAGCAUGGUUUUCUUUGGCAUAUGGGCAGAGGCACUGUGUUCCCGAGUCUGGAAAGAACUGGUUAAAGCUUCCUGGUUCACUGGAGCUGCAGUUGCAGCAUCUGAAUUAUGUCCCAUGUGUUAUGACUUCCUGCUCUCGUGAAUUAGGCUCAGAUCUUUGAAUUACCUUUAUUCUUUUUUUGUGUGUGCUUAUAUUUAGUUUAAUUUUUAAUGGUCUGCUAGGCUUCUCUGCAGUUAGCUAAUGCAAUCUGGUUCAAUAGGUUACUGUGCUACAUCCUCAUCUGAUGCAGCUUUGCAGCUAUGAGAAAGUGGGACCAGGGAACCUUUGUGCUUGGAUUUGCACAGGGAUUGUUCUGUGCUGUAGCAGCAGCAGAGCAGCAGCAGGCGUCUCUAUUAUUGUCACUGAUUACAUCCCAUCAUUGAGUCAAAGGGUGGCUAGUGGGAUCAAGCUUAUGGGCCUGGGAUUUCAGCUUGGGGUUGGGGUGAUGAGGAUGUAACUGCGUAAGAGAUACGGCCACAUAUUGGCUGCAGUGACAAAACAGGCUGCUCCAGACUGCAUCUUGUGAUUCCCAUGGGGGCUGGGGUUGCUGAGUAGCCUGAAAUCUGCUCUGCUUCAGCAGGAUCUUGGCCAAUGCUAAGGGAGGCAUUAUGGGGCAUGAUAUGGGAGAAGGGGGAGAUGGUUUGCUUAUCAUAGCCAAUCUGGCUCUAAUAUAUGGGUUUGGAAAUGCAUUGCCCUAUUAAGGGCAAGCAAAUGAGAGGGUACAGACUUAUAAAUACCCCAGAGAUGCAUGGGCAACCAGCCAUGAGCUUCUGGAGUCAAGAAGAUGCUGUUUAAAUUAUGCCAGCAGUCUUUGUCAGUACAUAAACGUAUGUCUAAAACCCUAACUUCAGCAGUAAGCACCAAAAGGGGUUAACCAUAAUAAAAAUCUCUCUUGGCAUUAAAACAACAACAACAAAAAAGUCUCUUCAGCAUUGCCUUCAGCUUCAUGUAGCAAUACAUCAGAGAAGGAGCAUAAAUCCAGCAGGCUAAUGGGGACAAAGGGUCAUGGGAGUAGACCUUGGCAGAUAAGCUGAUGCAGGGAAGCUGGUCAGUACCUGGGUGGGUAAUAUAUCACUGGUGCUGCAGAGUAAGAGGCCAUCUCUACUGCAGCUGAAAUGGAAACCUUGCAGGAAGGGAGGUGGGGUUUUAUGGGUGGUAUUGGGGCAGGCUGAUGUGGGGCAGAGGAGUGGUGGGCAUGUGCAAGUGUAGGGACUGGAAAGGCAGUGUCUCUGUUUGUUCACUCAGGAGAGUGAAUCUAAUCCCUACAAUCAUCUUUUGAUGUCAGCUAGAGUUGCUACAUUCAGGAUUAUUUUUCCAACAAUUUCUUCUCUUGAGAGGUAAGUCGUUGCCUUGAGAAGUAGGAUCUGUUUGUCUUUGGUACAGGAGGCUAUAGUAUAAAAAGCCAAAUCUGUGAAAGGCACCAUAACUUGGUUGUUCUCCUUAACAAAGCAAACCAAAAAGGAGGUAUCAAGGUAUCCCAGCAUAGCUGAUGUGAGAAGGGCCCUCUGGGCUCAUCUGCUCCAGCCUCUGUUCCAGCAAGCAUACGAGAGCAGGGUGGCCAGGGCCAUGUCCAGGCAGCUUUGGAAGAUCUCCAAGGGGGAGACCUUACAGCCUAUCUACCCUGUGUACAUCUUCAACAGAUGGUGCACGUUGGUCUGAGUAUCUUGACUUUGAUAAUAAAGCCACUUUGACUCUCAAAGUAAGGGUAGCUCUUGCAUUUAUGGUUUCUCAAAAAUGAUGCUGCUAUAUGCUCUGCACAAGCACCACUGUAGACAAGUAUGUCCAAUAGGUUGAUAUUGAUUGUAAUCAGUUAUUGAUAUUGUAGUCAGUUGUUAUCAUUUGUCAUUGUCAUUCCCCUCUCAAGGCUGGGUUGGAUAGAACCCUGGGCAGCCUGAGCUGGUGGCUGGCAGCCUUGCCCAUGGUAGGGGGUUGGAACUGGACGGUCUUUCAGGUCCAUUCCAACCCAACCACUCUGUGAUGUACAUGGGGCUGUGCAGUAAUUUAGUUAGGUGAUUGCAUCAAAACACUGCUUUAAAGUUAAAUCUUGGGACUCCUGUGCUCCCCUUGCAGCAGUACGUGGUUGCCUGACAAUCCCAUAGCCACUCUCUGCCGAUCUCUAGGGCUAAAAGUACUAGGCAUGGUUUAGAUCCCAAUAGCUCAGGAAAUGUGUCUUGGAGGCCCUGAGCAAUGCUCUUGGGAGCUUUUUAUUUCAGUGGGGUGGAGGCACAAGCACAGAGGCUGGAGAGCAGAGCAAGUCCUUGCAGACUGAAGAGUAUUGGUCUUGGCAAGAGACUCGUAGGUUAGAAGCCAUUGAUAAUUCACUUGCAAAGCAGUCCUUCAGCUCCAGUUGGACCACAGUGAGAUGAGCUCUGUGCCUUUCUCUAGCAGAUCCCCAGAGGAGGGCUGGUUUGAGCUGUUACUGAAACCUGUGAAAAACUUUCGCCUGAGCACUAAAUUGGAAAAUGAGCCCUCACAGCCCAAAUCAAAGGAGGCUUUAUAAGUGGGAAGGAGGCUGGGGAAGACCCUGGAGGGCUGUGGCUUCCUCCUUGCUCUCUGUUAGCAUUGCCCAGUAUGGCACGUAUUCACGCAGCAGCAGAGAGGCUGCAGUGUGCCUUUUCCUCCCUCCUCCUCCCAUCAGCGCCGCAGCUACACCCAGCAGCACAGCUUCCCGUAAUAGCAGCUGUAACCUACCCUGUAAAUCAGGCCUUGUAAUUAUGGGACCCAAGGUGGAACAGCAGGAUGAAUGCAUUGGUCAGCAGUCAGCAAGUGUAAGAAUGCUGAGGGGCCUCAGUGGGUGCUGGAAAACAGUUUGUACUGAAAGCCUGGUCAUCCUGGUGGUUUGCCCUAUUGGUGGUUUGUGCCUUUCUCCAAUUAUAGCUGAGAAUCUGCUCCCUCCCUCUUGCCCUCCUCUGUUACCUUCCUGAAGGGCAGCCACCACUGCAUGGUGAGCAUGUCUCCUCACAGCACAGUUUGGAAAUGAAAGCAGCUGGUUGGGUAUCGAUUUCCCUCUACAUCUUCUGUGAUCUACAUUUGUAGAAGUGUCUUGACAAGGAACUUGGGCAUUCUGCAGAGCUCUAGCAUCACUCCCAAAAGUUCAAACUUUGUGCUCUCAGGCUUUCAGCCACUGAUAAACAAAGCAACUAUAUGCUCCUCCUGGAUGAGUGCUCUCUCCUGCAGUGAAAUUGUUUGUUGCCAUGGAUAUCACUUAGUUUAGAGAGACAUGUAACCAAAAUGGAUUUAAACAGACCCUCAUGGGUCAAUAUUUCCGUAGGAGCAAAUGUGCAUCUUGAGGCUUCCUAAAUGUCUUCUGUUUGGGCUUGUUGCAAUAAGCACAAACCUCCCAGAGCUUCAGCCAGGAGAAGUUAUCCUCUAACCAUCAGGAAUGCAUUUUGUAUGUUAUUUUUUCCCAAAUCCACAAGGAUACAGGAUCACAGAAGCCUAAAAGAUCAGGUAGAAGUUUCUCCGUUGUUUGUUCUUGAUAAUUUGAAACUACUUUUUCUUGCCAGUCUCUAUUUUUAUUUUUUUUUCUUUUUAGAAGUGCCUUUCAGUCUGGGGUUUCCAUGAUGUGUCGUAUUGCAGCUCAUAAAUGGACUUGUGUUCUGGGCAAACAAUAGUUGUUACUGUUUAACACAGAUUUGAUAAAAUUUGCUAAUGACCACUGCAGAAAACGGGCAGCUCAAGUGAAGUUUUUGGUUUCUACCCAGGAGCAAAACUCCCACUCCCUGCCCUGUGAAUUUCAUUAGGUGGAACUAAUUAAAGCGAUGUGUCUUAUUUCUGAGAUGAGCACUGGUCCAAGAGGAGUCCGGAGAGGUUUGUAUGCUGCGACACAACUGCUCUGCUUUUAAAUACCGCAAAAGCUUUGUGUCCUAUUUAAUUUGACAUUCCUUGUGUUUGUUUCCCUUCAUGACUCAUAGCACAACACUGGCAGCGAGCCUAGGAAGUAGGUUAUGGGAUCUGGCGUGGGGACACUGGUGGAUUGUAUUCCAAGUGUUAUGCUUACAUUGCACCACCGGCCCUGAGAGCACCCAGCAAACUGUGUUUGUCCUGCCCUGAAGGCUGGUGCCUUCAGAAAUUAGGUGAACAGCUGCAGCUGUGGUCUGAGGCAGCCUUGACUUUGCACUUAUUUUGCAUUAUCCAUUAGCCUGGAUGACUGGGGGUACUGUGAGUGGCUUCACCUCAGCUCUUCAGCUCUUGGUGUCUCCUGUACAGAGCAGGAGCUCACAUCUUCCCUUCUCCUGGCUCAGGAUAAAAGAUCAUCAUGCCAUGUUUAUGGACACCGAAGUGAAAAUGCUAGCAGUAUGUUUUGGGAAACACUGGGUAGUUCACCUAGGUUCUGGGGUGUUAGCUGAUAGCUGGCUGAACAUGAGCCAGUGGUGUGCCGAAGUGGCCAAGAGGACCGCUGGCGUCCUGGCUUGUAUUAGAGAGAGUGCAAGCAGCAGAGAAAUCAUUGCCCCUCUGUUCUCAGUUCUGAUGAGGCUGCACCUUGAGUACUGUGUUCAGUUUUGGGUCCCUCUCUACAGGAAAGACAUUGAUGCCUUGGAGUGUGUCCAGAGAAGGGCAAUGAAACUGUGAAGGGUCUGGAAUCAAAGCAUGGGAAGUGGCUGAGGGAACUGGGAUUGUUCAAUCUGGAGAAGAGGAGGCUCAUGAGUGACUUUGUCACUCUCUACAAUGACUUCAAGGGAGGUUGUGGUAAGGUGGGAGUCAGCCUCUUCUCCCAGAUAACAGCUAUAGGAUGAGUAGGAAUGGCAUCAAGUUGCACAAAGGGAGAUUCAGGUGGAUGUUAGGAAAAAAAUUAUUCUCUGAGUGAGUGGUAGUGAAUUGGAAGAGGCUGCCCAGGGAGGUGGUGGAGCCACCAUCCCUGGAGGUAUUCAAGAACCACGUGGAUGUGACACUGAGGGACAUAGUUAGUGGGCAUAAUGGGAAUGGGUUGACAGUUGGACUUGGUGAUCUUUGUGGUCUUUUCCAACCUUAAUGGUUCUGUGAUUCAUUGUUCUUAAUUUGGUUUUCUGUAGGAUGAAGACCUCGUAACAAAGCAAAUGAACUUAGGACUGUCCUUUGGAUUUGCAUGGAUAUUUCACAAGAGGUUUCAGAAGCCUCAACAAUACCAACAUAAAAUACAGCUGGACACUAAGCUACUUCAGAACUUGCUUCUUUACCUGACCCCUUUCUGUAGAAGCACCAGAGUCUGGUUGGUUUUUUUUUGUUGUUGUUGUUGAUUUCUCCUUUUAGUAGACAGAUAAUUUUAUUGCAGCUUGGUGACAGGAAGCUGAUAAUAUUUGAGGGAAAGAAGCUGUGUCACCAGGACGUGCAUUAAAACAUAAGUACACUUUGCUUUUCACGUUUUACCCAAGGUCAGAAGUACCCAACUGAUUUCUGAGCUAGUGGUAGCAGCCUGUUGAAACUAUAGCCCAAACCCAGCAUUGCUCACUUGCCUGUAAGAAGGCACAUGUGACAACAGCUUAUGCUCUUCUGCUGGAUGGUGUGGUUUAAAAAUACAUCUGCAAGAAGUAGUUACACCCAAUAAGCCAUUUUCACCACCUUAGCACAGUACUUAGGAAUAAGAAUAAUUCCUACAUUUCUGAGCCAGUAGAUCCAUCUGUAUGCAGUCUCUUCACACCGUGUUAAGUCACACACAUGUCUGUAUGUGCAUGCAAUUUCAGUAUGAGAACAGGCUCUGUAAUAGUUUAGCUGUAAGCUCAUAAGAAGCUCUGUCGCACCUGAAGGUAUAAUCCUUUGUUUGUGACAUCCCAACAAGUUACUGCUGGAAAGGAUUAUGGCUCCAUGUGAGAGAUGAGCAGGACUGGUGGGACUUCAGAAGUUAAGAGGUGCUUUUUAUCCAUGCAUUACAAUCUUUAAGACACAUCUAUGAAAAAUUAAAAAAAAAUAAACUUGGGUGAAACUCUGCCUACAGGAAA